rnacentral:rRNA from 1 species
AUUGAACGCUGGCGGCAGGCCUAACACAUGCAAGUCGAACGGCGUGGCGGACGGGUGAGUAAUGUCUAGGAAUCUGCCUGGUAGCGGGGGAUAACGUCCGGAAACGGGCGCUAAUACCGCAUACUAUCAGAUGAGCCUAGGUCGGAUUAGCUAGUUGGAGGGGUAAAGGCCUACCAAGGCGACGAUCCGUAACUGGUCGGAGAGGAUGAUCAGUCACACUGGAAAUGAGAAACGGUCCAGACUCCUACGGGGGGCAGCAGUGGGGAAUAUUGGACAAUGGGCGAGAGCCUGAUCCAGCCAUGCAGCGAGUGUGAAGAAGGUCUUCGGAUUGUAAAGCACUGUAAGUUGGGAGGCGUUACCAACAGAAUAAGCACCGGCUAACUUCGUGCCAGCCGCCGCGGUAAUAC